rnacentral:rRNA from 1 species
GGAAUUUUCCGCAAUGGGCGAAAGCCUGACGGAGCAAUCUCGCGUGAGGGAUGACGGCCUAUGGGUUGUAAACCUCUUUUUUCAGGGAGGAAUAAAUGACGUGUACCUGAAGAAUAAGCAUCGGCUAACUCCGUGCCAGCAGCCGCGGUGAGACGGAGGAUGCAAGUGUUAUCCGGAAUCACUGGGCGUAAAGCGUCUGUAGGUGGUUUAAUAAGUCAACUGUUAAAUCUUGAAGCUCAACUUCAAAAUCGCAGUCGAAACUAUUAGACUAGAGUAUAGUAGGGGUAAAGGGAAUUUCCAGUGGAGCGGUGAAAUGCGUAGAGAUUGGAAAGAACACCGAUGGCGAAGGCACUUUACUGGGCUAUUACUAACACUCAGAGACGAAAGCUAGGGUAGCAAAUGGGAUUAGAUACCCCCGUAGUC